AAAACGGCCCUUUUAAGGGCCAUUGCUUCAUCAUUUGAUCUUAGUAU
rfam:Macrostomum lignano uti_cns_0010979, whole genome shotgun sequence.